GUGAAUCAUCGAAUCUUUGAACGCAAAUUGCACUCUCUUCGGAGAGUAUGCGUGUUUGUGGGUCAGCCUAAAUUAAAUCGACAUAGUCGCUGUUUCGCGGUGACAUUCGUCGGACAUCGGGUCAUCUUAAACCUUUGGGUUUUAAGCGGCUUAAAAUUUUCUUUUUGAUUUCAUGAACGUUUUUAAGAUUUAUUUCUUUACACGUUUAAGGUAUCGAUUUUUAUUAGACGUUACUAUUAUAUCGGAUCGCGCCC
rnacentral:misc_RNA from 1 species